CUUGGAUUCAUCAAAUUCAGUGUUUGUUUUUGUUAAGAUCGUUGUUGCAAAUUUUCAAAUAGCUUUUCCGGUUAUUUAUAUCGAACAAUAAUCGAAAACAUGGAAGAAGGUACAAAGCAACAAAUCCUGAAAUUUUUGGGGGAAAAUUUUCUGUGAAUAAACCUUUAACACCUUCGAACAAUGAAUAGAACAUCGAAACAAGCCAUUGAUAGCCAACAAUUUAAACAGUUGCCAAACUUUAGUAUAUCGGAAGCAACCCGAUUAAAUUACUAACCCCAAGCCAGCCAUUUUGACAAACUGUUCGACCGUUCAGAGCGACAAGAAAGGUCGUUUCAGCGCAUCGAUUUGGUCGUUCUGCCUCCGAUUGAAAACUAAAUUGCGUACUCGAUGUCCAAAUCGUUACCAUAGGAGACAAUCAAUAUUACAGCGCUUGGAAGGAAAUUUAAUUACAACUUUGCCUCGCCUAGUGUUUUAUGCACGGUAAUCAGCUAUCAGAUGAAACGUGGAAUUAUUUGAACAUGCAAUGGUUAUAAGAAUUCAAUGAGGCAUGAAAUUGUUAUUGCACAAGAAAAAGACUGAAAGAAGAACUAUACCUGCUCCAGCAUGAAGCGUCUCAGUUUACAAAUUCUUUUUUUGAUUUUUGCUCCGCUCAGGGGUUGAAGCCAAAGUUGGAUCACCGGAAAGAAUAUUCAAAUAUUCAUACACCCUCUCAGCCACGGGACUAGCAACAAGAAAAGAAUAGCAUCAUUGUUCUUCACUGGAGUAGUACUGCUACUAGCAUUGCCCCGACAAAAGAAAGCGCUGCAUCAAAAGAUGCUUCGUCUCAGCCAGCCUCCCCAUCCACCCUCUCUGGGUCUGCGUCCGCUAGGGGAUAAAAAGGCAGUUGCUAGUAAGUAGUGUUACUCUUUUUCCCUGCUUCAAGCACCUACUUCGUUAAAACUGCCGAGCACAGGUAAGUGUGCUUUUUUAUUGUCCGACCUUUCUUUGCGCCCACUUCCGAUGGAAACCACUUUCCACCCUUGUGCUCAGCCUGCGAGCGAACGAAAACAUGCUAGCUUGAAAGAAAUACUGCCUCACGGCAGCGUACAGCAACAGCAGGAAGCGGUGGAAGUAUUAACGAUUGAGCGAAAGGAAAUUUAUUCAUGACUCCUAAUGUGCAUGCAAUUUAUGGAAUGAUUGGUUGGAUGUAAAUUUAUGCGGCAAAAA